UGGGGAAUAUUGCACAAUGGGCGCAAGCCUGAUGCAGCCAUGCCGCGUGUAUGAAGAAGGCCUUCGGGUUGUAAAGUACUUUCAGCGGGGAGGAAGGGAGUAAAGUUAAUACCUUUGCUCAUUGACGUUACCCGCAGAAGAAGCACCGGCUAACUCCGUGCCAGCAGCCGCGGUAAUACGGAGGGUGCAAGCGGUAAUCGGAAUUACUGGGCGUAAAGCGCACGCAGGCGGUUUGUUAAGUCAGAUGUGAAAUCCCCGGGCUCAACCUGGGAACUGCAUCUGAUACUGGCAAGCUUGAGUCUCGUAGAGGGGGGUAGAAUUCCAGGUGUAGCGGUGAAAUGCGUAGGGAUCUGGAGGAAUACCGGUGGCGAAGGCGGCCCCCUGGACGAAGACUGACGCUCAGGUUCGAAAGCGUGGGGAGCAAACAGG
rnacentral:rRNA from 1 species